UACGGAGGAUGCAAGCGUUAUCCGGAAUGAUUGGGCGUAAAGCGUCCGCAGGUGGCUGUGUAAGUCUGCUGUCAAAGAGCAAAGCUCAACUUUGUAAAGGCAGUGGAAACUACACGGCUAGAGUGCGUUCGGGGCAGAGGGAAUUCCUGGUGUAGCGGUGAAAUGCGUAGAGAUCAGGAAGAACACCCGUGGCGAAGGCGGCUCUCUGGGACGGUACUGACGCUGAGACGCGAAAGCGUGGGGAGCGAACAGG
rnacentral:rRNA from 1 species